rnacentral:rRNA from 2 species
GAUUAACGCUGGCGGCGUGCAUAACACAUGCAAGUCGAACGAUGAAACUUUUAUGAAUUCUUCGGGAUGAUUAAAAGUGGAUUAGUGGCGGACGGGUGAGUAACGCGUGAGUAACCUGCCUUAGAGAAGGGGAUAGCCGUUGGAAACGACGAAUAAUACCCUAUGAAAUAAACACCUCGCAUGAGGAGUUUAUCAAAGAUUUAUCGCUCUAAGAUGGACUCGCGUCUGAUUAGCUAGUUGGUGGGGCAAAGGCCUACCAAGGCAACGAUCAGUAGCCGGCUUGAGAGAGUGUACGGCCACAUUGGGACUGAGACACGGCCCAGACUCCUACGGGAGGCAGCAGUGGGGAAUUUUGCACAAUGGGGGAAACCCUGAUGCAGCGACGCCGCGUGAUUUAGAAGGCCUUCGGGUUGUAAAAAUCUUUUGUAUGGGAAGAAAAUGACAGUACCAUACGAAUAAGGACCGGCUAAUUACGUGCCAGCCGCCGCGGUAA